UACGUAGGGUGCGAGCGUUAAUCGGAAUUACUGGGCGUAAAGCGUGCGCAGGCGGUUGUGCAAGACAGGUGUGAAAUCCCCGGGCUCAACCUGGGAACUGCAUUUGUGACUGCAUCGCUGGAGUGCGGCAGAGGGGGAUGGAAUUCCGCGUGUAGCAGUGAAAUGCGUAGAUAUGCGGAGGAACACCGAUGGCGAAGGCAAUCCCCUGGGCCUGCACUGACGCUCAUGCACGAAAGCGUGGGGGAGCAAACAGG
rnacentral:rRNA from 1 species